CGCGCGGCCGCGGGAGGGCGGGGGGGAGGGCCGGUGCGGGGGGGGGUGCGUGGUGUCUUCUUUCCCUGUGCCUGGGCCCGCCCCCCCCCCCCGCCCCCCAAGUGCGGACGCAUCGGGAGCUCUGGCCUCCCCCACCCCUGCAUUUGCGAUUGGCUCCGGGAGAAGGUGGAUGGUGCCGCCACGGCUGCAGCAUCUCCCUGGGAGCCACGCGGGCGCAUCGUACCGGGAGCCGCGACCCUGCGCCCGCUGCCGCUGCCGCCAGCCCGGCCGGAGGGGCUCCGCGCUGUAGCUGCGCAUUGAUCGCACCGUCGGCCAGGCUGGAGGACACGGCGGCCACGCGGAGGCCACAGCGGAGGCCACACGGAGGCCCGGCGAGGUCUGCUCAGCUCCAAGUAAGCGAAACCCCUACCCUGCCCGGGCCCCUGACCGGCCUCAGGUGGGACUCCCGGCUGAACCCCCCCGAGACCCACCCACCCUGCUCCGAGUGUGGGUCCCUCGGAGCUGUGCUCCCUGGGGCGGCCGGGAUGGUGGCCAGCUGUGGCUGCCUGCCCCCCGCGGCCCUCAGCAGGGUACCGUGAAAACGUCCGUCCGUUUCCACACCGGCGCGCUGCCGGGAAGUCUAUCCUGGCGCCCUGCAUCCUGCCGGUCCCCGAGAGGCUCUCCUUUCUCCUUGAGGGUGACCUUGGCCCGAAGGCCCUUCACCAUACCGGGCGCCCCUGUCACGCCGAUGGCCUUAGGAACGGCUCUGGUGGUGGCCGGGGAGGCCCCGCACUGCAUGUCCGGAAGUCGCUUCAGGCCCUGGCACCACCGGCCGUGGGCAGUGGGAUCCCGCACGCCCUGCCCGGGGGUGGGGUGGGGGGGGUGCCCAGGACUCACACGAGAGGCAGGGCUCCGGCCCAAGGGGCCACUUUGGGAAUCCAGCCCAAGCUAAGGACCUCACCCGCCCCGUCUGUCUCAUUCCUGCCUGAGGCUGCUCUCGGUCCAGUGUGAAAUGUGGCACCUCGCUGGGGACUCUGGGGCACACCCCACGGGUCCUCGGGAGAGGAGAAUACCGGUCUUCACCGGUCUUCACCGCUGUCCACCGGCCCAGGAGCAGAUCAGUCAGCUCUUCGAUUGAUCAGACACAGUUCGCGUCCCUCUCCCAUCGCGGCAGGGCUGGAACCGAGUCCCGUCCUCACGGGAGGGAGGUUCUUGUGCAAAUACUGUGCCGAGACCAGAGGCCAGCCCUGGCCAGACACCCACUCAGGAAACCCUGAAACCGGUGAAGGCCCCUGGGACACGAGCUACGGUUUGAGUCAGGACACGAUCCCGGCCGUGGGUGAGGACACCUGUCCCCAGCCUGCCCCUUCCUUCCUGUCCCUGCAGCCUCACUCUGGGUCAGCGCCUGUGGUCCUGAUUCUGACCUGUGUUGACACCUGCUGGUGCCAGGACCCGAGAACCUCUGUGAUGCUUAGGAUAGGAAGGGGGAGCCCAGGAGGAGGGUCACGGCAGGGUCCAGUCUAGCCUCGGGGCCCCCUGCCCCUGGCCUUAGCUUUCCCCUCUAAAUGGAAGGAUGGACCAACCAAAACCGGCUCCCAUCUCCACCUGCACCAUGGACACCAGCCCCUGAAUUACUGGAAAGGGGGGAGCUGCUGGUUCCCGCCCCCUGGCAGGCUGUCUUUGGUCAGGUCCCCCGUGAGACCCACUGCGUAGACCAGAGACCCCUCUGCUUCCUUUGCCACGGGUGACCGCACGGAUGCUGUGGGUUAAGUGACUGCAGACCCCAAACCAGCCCAAAGUGUGCCCGGCGGGGCUGGCACACGGCCAGGCAGCCCCAGUAAGCAGCCACAGGCAAUACGUGAGCAAAUGGGCUUAGGUACGUUCCAAUAAAUACUGCGCACGCUGAUGUUUGAAUUCCA